UACCUUAAUAAAGUAGUAGAAAGAAGGAAUAAGAAAUGCCUACUCUGUGUAAGAAGUGCUUGCUCUGUGUAAGAAAACAAGAGAACCGAUGUUUUAGCCAUAAUAGGAAUGGGUUAGACCCCGCAAAGAAGUUUAAAUGCAGCAAGACAUACAAAAGCAUGCUCAUUCAGAGAGCCCUUGUGUCAGUGGUCUGGCUUCUCUCUACACUGAAUGCCGGAAAAUCUGAAGUGAGGUGAAGAGUUGCAGCAUCAGUGGGUGUAAGGUGAAUUAUCACGGGGAGUCCGUCAUGUUACACGUCACGUCUUCACAUCACAGUUCUGUGUUUCCCGGCACUUUCUUGUAUUUAGGUUUGCUUCUUUGCUUGAUUUGUAACUUUGAGAAAGGCUGGAAUAGCAGCCGAAACAGUCUUGUUAUACUUCAAAUAAAUCACGUUGUUUCUUCAUAA